rnacentral:rRNA from 1 species
GAAAUGCGAUACUUAGUGUGAAUUGCAGAAUCCCGUGAAUCAUCAAGUCUUUGAACGCAAGUUGCGCCCGAGGCCUCGGCCAAGGGCACGUCUGCUUGGGCGUCGCA